rnacentral:rRNA from 1 species
AUGAACGCUGGCGGCGUGCCUAAUCCCUGCAAGUCGCGCGAACAGGCGAGGAGCUUGCUCCUCUGACGUUAGCGGCGGACGGGUGAGUAACACGUGGAUAACCUACCUAUAAGACUGGGAUAACUUCGGGAAACCGGAGCUAAUACCGGAUAAUAUAUUGAACCGCAUGGUUCCAUAGUGAAAGACGGUUUUGCUGUCACUUAUAGAUGGAUCCGCGCCGCAUUAGCUAGUUGGUAAGGUAACGGCUUACCAAGGCAACGAUGCGUAGCCGACCUGAGAGGGUGAUCGGCCACACUGGAACUGAGACACGGUCCAGACUCCUACGGGAGGCAGCAGUAGGGAAUCUUCCGCAAUGGGCGAAAGCUUGACGGAGCAACGCCGCGUGAGUGAUGAAGGUCUUCGGAUCGUAAAACUCUGUUAUUAGGGAAGAACAAAUGUGUAAGUAACUAUGCACGUCUUGACGGUACCUAAUCAGAAAGCCACGGCUAACUACGUG